AUCCAGAUGUCGAGUCCUAAAUAGGAUGAAACGCGUGUCCUGGAU
rnacentral:hammerhead_ribozyme from 1 species